rnacentral:rRNA from 1 species
GAAUAUUGGACAAUGGGGGCAAGCCUGAUCCGCCAAUACCGCGUGUGUGAAGAGGGCCCUAGGGUGGUAAAGCACUUUUUCAAUUGAAGAAGGGAUAGUAGUUAAUACCUACUGUCAUUGACGGUAACUCAAGAAUAAACGCCCGGUAACUCUGUGCCAGCACCCGCGGUAAUAUGGAGGGGGCAAGCGUUAAUAUGAAAUAUUGGGGGUAAAGGGUAUGUACGGGGUUAGAUAAGUGGGAGAUGAAAGCCCCCGGGUCUACAUGGGAAAUGCAUUCAAAAAUGUUUCAAUAGAGAGUAUAAGAGGUUAGCGGAAUUUCACGGGUAGCACGGAAAAGCGUAGAUAUAUGGAGGAACAUCAGGGGGGAAGGCGCAUACACGGUAUAACACAGACGCGGAGGUACGAAAAAGUGGGGAGAGAACGCGAUUAGAUACCCCGGUAGUCCACACCCUA